rnacentral:lncRNA from 1 species
UGAUCGGAUCGUUAUGAUGCAUCUAAAAUUUUUUUUAUUUUACCCUAGCAUAAUAUUUUUUUUACCAAUAUGCAGUGGAAUAGGGAUUAAAACCUCCUGGAGAACUCAAAUCCGAUGCCUCGCGAGGUCUGAAAGCACAAGUCCUCUACUUUGCAUGCAUGCCAGGCUCCAUAGGGAAGAGGGAUGAUCUCCUUAGGCAUUAAUCUUUCGAAGCGAAGUGAGAUGAGGGAUGAGAGCUAAUCUUCAAAGCCUUGGAGGGGUUCUUCACACCAAGAACUAGGACCCCAAGGUCUCACGCCAAGAAGGAAGACGCAAUAAAAAGAUUAGUGCCCCUUUAUAGUUGUCGCACAACCUAUUUUCUCCCUUAUGG